GUAAACGUUCUUUGCUCCUGCUUCGUCUUCUGCCGUGAUUGUGAGGCCUCCCCAGCCAUGUGGAACUACUCAUCACUCACUGCAGAUGUUACUUUAAGACAUUCUGGAGCAGCGUCAUGUGCAGGUGCGUAGUGCCUCCGCCCAUCUCUCUCUUGCUCCUGGUCUCAUCGUGACGGGCCUGGUCCUGCCUCACUUUAUGCCACGACUAAGAGCUCCCUGAGGCCUCUCCAGAAGCAGAUAUCACUAUGCUUCCUACACAGCCUGCAGAACCGAACAAUAAGGAAGUGAGUGCUUUUGUAAUUCCUGAACAACUGUGUCUUACACUUACUAAGGGAUUCAUGGGCAAUAUGACUGAAUAGGAACAGCUCCAGUCUGAAGCUCCCAGUGAGACCAACAUAGAAGUUCUCUUGCCUGCCACCAUGUAAGAUAUGCUUUUACUCUUCCGCCUUCCACCGUGACUGUGAGGCCUCCCCAGCCAUGUGAAACUGCCUUUGAGCUUAUACUGAAUUAUACCACCAGCUUUCCUAGGUCUUGAAGCUUACAGACAGCAGAUCUUGGGACUUCUCAGGCACCAUAAUCAAUCAUAGAUAAAUGAUCCAAUGAUUCGGAACUUGAAAAGUGGUAGCUUUAUGAAUUCUCCUUAAGAAGAAACCUGUGCCCUGAUCUUGCCUACUCACCCAAAGGCACUGUGAGAUAGCAUCAAAGGAACAGCUAGUAAGAGACACAGAGCCAGAAAUCAGGGAAGUAAAAUACACUUGACAUCUACGUUCGGAAAGAAAUUUUAGGAGGCAGAAGCAAAUGGAUCAGAAGCUGCUUAUAUUUUUGCAAGAUUACCAAAGAAACCAUUGGUGGAGAAAGUUCUGUGACCAACUUGUCUGAGUCUAGUAAGAUUGAACGCUCACACACAAGUUUCAUGAAGUGGGUUUGAUACUUACAGAUAAGCAGCAAGGACCAACAGAAGCUGAUGAUCUAUGGUGAACUUUUUCCCAAGGCUCCGGAAAGCUGCCUAAAGUAGAUGGAGUCUUCUCUGUGUGUGCCCCACUGGUCCUGCAGUUGAAGGAUCCGGUAAAGCAGCCUGCCCUUGGUUUUAUACUCCAGAGGAACGUGAUUCGCUGGACUAAAGCAUUGAAGUGCAUCCUGUUUCCGGGGGGCACUGGAACAGAGCCUGGUCUGUUCUAGCCAGUCCCUUUCUAUCUCAGGAUAACAUUCUACAGUUAUUCUUGAGAACUAUAAUCAAAUAAGCAGGGAGAACUGGGAAAGCAGAGGCUCAUUGUGGAACCCUCAAGGAGCAUGGGGUCGUCUUCAUCCCUCAGUUUAUAAAUGGCCAAGGAGAGUAAUGCAACAAAAACUUCUCAGAGUUAAAAGCCAGAGUUCCUAAAGAACCGUGGACAAAGGGUUCUGUCUAGUGGGCAGAAUUCAUCCAGCGAAGGUGCUUACUGCACUCCCAGCAUGUGCUUGGGAACUUUAUUAAAAUUCCUUCCUAUUGAGAUUUAAAUUGCUGUCCAGAAUUAUACAAUAUAAUGAAUGGGGGCAUUCAUUAUGUGUAUUCUAUGCCUUCUCCAUCAUUGCAUAUUCAGUCCUCGUGCUAGAGAGAGGCAGAUAAUCUACCUUUUAAAUUGAUAGGUCUCCUAACUACAGAGGGUCACAUCUGGAUCUGAUGGCACCUACAGAACUUGGACUCUGAGCGACAAUCAGUGACCAGGUGUGACUUUAUAUUAUCUCUGUCAGGGAAGGGUGAGAGUUUUCAAUGUGUGAACAUAGAAUAAAAUGGUCUGGUGACCAAAAGGCUCUAUUAAAGAUAAUAUGAGAUGUUCAAAA
rnacentral:lncRNA from 1 species